GCACUGCAAAUGUCACUGUACCUUGCUGGAAGGUGAUCUCCCCCCAGCCACACAUCACAUGGGGAGAGGAGGGGAGGCUCCUACCAGCUGAAAAAUACAGGAGCAGAUCAAAACAGACAAGGCACAUUGGGAGUCAGAGAGAGGAAAACAGUAAGUGAGGCUGUAAGGACUCUGCUGACUGGCUGCAGCUCCUGUGGAGAGUCUGCUCAGGGAUUUUGGGGAGGAUGCUUUGCCAGCCCCUGUGGAUGCUCAGGGAGGAGCUGCCAUAGGCACACUGCACCCUGUGACACGGACAGAAUUUACAGGUGUGUGUGUUUAAGGCUCCCAGUGAUGUUGUGGCAAUAUUUCUGUAUUACUGGUGCUAUGAAUAUUUUAACAUAUAUAUCUGAUACAUUUGUUAGAAAUCAGGCCACAAGACAGAGACAAGUGACAUGGAGUUAUUUUAGGAGGAAAAUUUUCCGAAAUGGAUACUGUCUUCAAAAGUUCAAUUAUACAGUAAAUAAACAAAACCACUAAACUAAACAAAGGUUUGUGGGGAAAACAAACAGAAAAAGACAACAUCUACGUUCAGAUCAGCCUUACAAAGCACAUUUGUCAUUGUGUGUGCAGUUCACUGGCAGGUUCUUGGGAGAAAAUGAAGUAUAGCACAGAACAGGCCUUACAUCCCCUGCACUUUCACGUUAACCAGGAGACAGCAAAGUCAGAACAAAUUUACCAGGUGCUUCUUUAACUGCAAUCAGGAUGGGAAUGUCUCCAGUUGUGACAAUGCAAUUAG